CCCUGCCUUUUGUACACACCGCCCGUCGCUCCUACCGAUUGCGUGUGUUGGUGAGGAGCUCGGAUUGGUGCAGGGUGGCGGUUUCCGCUAUCUGUUGCUGGGAAGCCCUCCGAGCCGCCCCACUUAGA
rnacentral:rRNA from 1 species